UACCUUCAGCCGCCCAGUUUCAAUCCUGUUAUUAGCCUGUGCAGAGAUGAUGGGCGUGGGGUGGCAUUCAGACCUUUGUGACAAUUGGGCUGCAACUCCUGAGAGGAAAGAUCCUACAGCUAAGCUCCUGUCAGUCAUGGACCAGCGCAAGAAAAGAGACGGUCACUUUCAUAUUUCCCAUGUGUGAGUUGCAUCAGCCAUCAAAGGAGAGUACAGUGGGAGGAGAAGGCCAGGAAACCUGGAUCAGCAAUGGAUUUUGGCAGAACAAAACAACAAACAACCCACGAAAGAAUGGGAAGGAGUUGAGAUACCAGACUGUGGAGGGGUCCAUCUGCUGCACAGGCAGAGCAACAGCCCCAUCUGUCUAUCCCUUGGUUCCUGGCUGUGGUGACUCAUCUGGAUCCUUAGUGAUGCUAGGAUGCCUUGCCAAAGGCUAUUUCCCUGAGCCAGUAACCGUAAAAUGGAACUCUGGAUCCCUGACCAGCGGUGUGCACACCUUCCCAGCUGUCCUGCAGUCUGGAUUCUACUCCCUCAGCAGCUCAGUGGCUGUACCCUCCAGCACCUGGCCCAGCCAGACCAUCACCUGCAACGUAGCCCACCCGGCCAGCAAAACUGAGUUGAUCAAGAGAAUUGAGCCCAGAAUACCCAAGCCCAGCCCCCCCACAAAUAUCCCGUGCCCACCUGGUUGCAUCUUGCCUGGACCAUCUGUCUUCAUCUUCCCUCCAAAGCCCAAGGAUACACUCAUGGUCUCCCUGACCCCCAAAGUCACGUGUGUGGUUGUGGACGUGAGUGGGGAUGAUCCAGAUGUCCAGUUCAGCUGGUUUGUGGACAACGUAGAAGUACACACAGCUCAGACGCAGCCCCGUGAGGAGCAGUACAACAACACCUUCCGGGUGGUCAGUGCCCUCCCCAUCCAGCACCAGGACUGGAUAAGGGGCAAGGAGUACACAUGCAAGGUCUACAACAAAGCCCUCCCAGCCCCCAUCGAGAGGACCAUCUCUAAGCCCAAAGGGAUAGCCCGGACACCUAAAGUAUAUACCAUGCCUCCACCUCGUGAACAAAUGUCCAAGAAGGAGGUCAGUCUGACCUGCUUGGUCACCAACUUUUUCUCUGAAGCCAUCAGUGUGGAGUGGGAAAGGAAUGGGGAGCUGGAGCAGAACUACAAGAACACCCCACCCAUCCUGGACUCAGAUGGGACCUACUUCCUCUACAGCAAGCUCACUGUGGAUACAGACAGUUGGUUGCAAGGAGAAACUUUUACCUGCUCUGUGGUGCAUGAGGCUCUUCAUAACCACUACACACAGAAGACCCUGUACCGCUCCCCUGAGCUGGAACUGAAUGAGACCUGUGCUGAGACCCAGGACGGGGAGCUGGACGGGCUCUGGACGACCAUCACCAUCUUCAUCAGCCUCUUCCUGCUCAGCAUGUGCUACAGCGCCGCUGUCACACUCUUCAAGGUGAAGUGGAUCUUCUCCUCGGUGGUUCAGGUGAAGCAGACGACAACAAUCCCUGACUACAGGAACAUGAUUGGGCAAGGCGCCUAGCUUGUCUCUUCAGAAGGUGCCAGAGCUUGCAAGCCCUCUAGGGCCAAGUCCAUGCUGCUGACACAGCAGGUUACACUGCCUUCUCAUCUCAGCAUCCUUUAAUCUUAUGGCUCUGACUCUGCUACCCACAUCCCUUCCACUUUUGGAGGAGCAUGUGGAGAGCAGGCUUUGCCUCAGACCAUAGCCAAAAGAACCCAAGCACCACUACCACAGCCAGAACAAUGGAUGGGGUCAAAACUGCUGUUUCUUCUACAUGGUGUCCAGUCCUCAGCCAGGUGCUCUCCCAGGAUGGGCAGCAUCACCUGCAUCCAUUUAGAUGCAGAUGACCCUUAGAGCCAACCCUGUCUACACAGUCCUCUGAAAAACACACUUCUCUGAGAGAAGAGGAAGCUUCCAUAUGUCUCUGCAGCUGAGAAGGCCCCAAAGGGACCUCUCUGGGAAGGACUGCCAAAGGUGACUCUAAUGGCCUUCCCCGGACCAGUGCCCUGCCAUGUUUUCACUCCUUGGAAGGUAAGAUGGGGUUCCUUGUGAAGACCCCUUUUCCUGCCCUCCAUACAACAUGAUGAAAUCUCAGAUGCAAGAUCCCACCAGAGACACUGCUGACCCCACAGCUUGAAGACCCGGGCACUGUGACCUCACUGGAUGACCUAGAGAGACGCGCACAGGACCUGAGUUUCAUAGCUGCUGUUGGGUCCUAGCAGGUGCAGAAGCCACUGAGCAAAGACUGACAACCCAGAAAAGCCUGCAGGAGAAGAGCGUGAUGGACAGAGCCGGGUCAGUCCCGAAGGCAGUCCAGGAGCAACACGGGGGAAAUGAGAGGGGUGCUUAAAAGCAGGCAGGAAUGGGCCUUUCCUGCAGCCUGACAUCCAGACUGGGCCACUGACAGCAGAGAACACCAGUUAGAGUAGACAGCCAUGGAGAGAGCCCAGGCCUGGGGCUCUGAGGCUGACUGACCGCUGGCACUGGAGAGGCACUGUGACUGUUUCUCCAUUUCAUAUCAAGGUAAAUGCCAGGCCAGAGUCCCCAAAAAUGACAAAGGAGAGACUCAGGUAGGAUUAUGGUGAUUCCUGGCUCUUAGGGGACUCCAAGAGAUGUUCACUGACAAGAAGCUUAGCUUUGCCAGCUUUUUCUUUAAAUUUUCUUGAGCCCAGUCACGUCUUUAAUGUCCCUCUUCAUCUUUUUUAAUAAUAAUAAAACAUCCUUCAACAUUGUACAA